AUGGCGGCGGAUUCGCAGCUUCCACGGCCGCUCCACCUCGGGCAGCGUGGAUCACGGCCAGCGGCCCGAUGGAGGCGGGUACCGGCGUGGUUGCUAUUCUGCCCUGCUCUCCCUCCAUGUCUCCUCCUGAGCCUUCGGUGGCCAGAUGCCUCUUCCACUAGGGGCACCCUCAUCGUUGGCGGAUUUUAUAUUUUUCAGGUCAGACAGUGUGCAGCCACACCUGGUCAACAUCCAGUUUCAGAAGAAUGUACAUCUGCAACUUGUUACUCUCUACAUGGAUUUCAAGUUGGAUGA
rnacentral:rRNA from 1 species